rnacentral:rRNA from 1 species
UACGGGGGGGAGCAAGCGUUGUUCGGAUUUACUGGGCGUAAAGAGCGCGCAGGCGGUCGUUCAAGUCGAGUGUGAAAGCCCCCGGCUCAACUGGGGAGGGUCACUCGAUACUGAUCGACUGGAAGGCAGGAGAGGGAAGCGGAAUUCCCGGUGUAGUGGUGAAAUGCGUAGAUAUCGGGAGGAACACCAGUGGCGAAGGCGGCUUCCUGGCCUGUUCUUGACGCUGAGGCGCGAAAGCUAGGGGAGCAAACGGG